AAAUUUCAAAAAAGGGGCAUGUGGGAAAAAAGUCCCUUUCGACGGGUAAUCCAGAAGCUUUUCCUUGUUUGAAGAAAUCGAAGAAUGAAGAACUGGCCGCGUGAAAAUCUACCGUCAAGAUCGAGUGUUUGUUCGCGAUAAAGGCAAAAUGCGAAGGGGGGAAUAACCUACCGAAUUCGACGCGUCCGAUGAUUCUUCUUCUCCUUUGACUAUGCGUCCGUUACCGCUUACGUAUUUCAAUCUCGUUCUGUUCCUGCAAUCGCGCGCGUUGAAUGAUGACGAGUGUGGCGUUGUUCGUCACGUUGAUUCGUCCCGUCGCCGAAUGAAGAUGAAGAAUGAAACCUUGUAAGAUUGGCAAGAUUCCCGGUUGAAGAAGCGACUCGAUUUCGGCCUCAACUGUUCGUUGACGGAUUCACGAUGACGGGUUGAAGGGUGAAGGUAUCCGCCUUAUUUCUGUUUCUCCUUCUGCUUUCCAUUUUUGUUCUUCUUCAAUCUUCUUCUUUUUGAUUCUGUUUUCUCUCUUUAGGUUCUCCUGUUUGGAGCUUUUCCAAAUUCUUGUUGCAGGUUCUUGGAGAACUCUGUUAUGUGGAGGGAUUGAAGUUAGGUUUCGGCGAGGGUGAAGAGUUGAGAAGAUGAAUUGAAGGAGAAGUUGGGGAUGACGGUGGUUGUGUCAAUGGUGAGGAAGAGAGUAGAAGAGGGUAUAGCUUGUUCAGAGUUGGUUUUGUUUGCAGGUGGUACUGAAGGAGGUUAGAGGUGGUGGUGGUGAAGGUUAGAUAAGGUUGAAGGGGUUGUUAUGGGUGAAGAAGAGGGUGGAGUGUCUGGAGAGAGUGAAGGGAGUGAAGAGCGUUGGAGGAUGAAGUGAGGGUUCGAAGUUGGUUAUGAUGGAGGCCCUUUUCAGUUAGGGAGUUGUUUCCCCUUUGUUAGCAGUUUCGGUCCCUCUUUUUGGAAUGUUGCCCUCCUGUUAUAUUGUUGCAAUUAUGUUAUUGUUGCAAUUCUGUUAUCAGUUGAUGGUUAGGAGUUCGGUUGAGAAAAUUCGGUUACGUUGCGGUUGGAAAUUAGUUAUAGAAGUUAUGUUAUAGGUUUGUUAGUGGUUAGAAAGUUAGAAAAUUUUGUUUUGACAGUUAUGAUUCGGUUAUGAAGUUAGUUAGAUUCCAAGUCCGUUGUGAAUUUCUGUUAUUACGUUUGGUUAAACGUUUUUUCGGUUGUUAGCUGAGUUUCUCGCUUAUUUCUGCUACGGUUUUUUUUACAGGGUCACAUUCAUUCUCGUGUCGCCAUGAUGCUUUGUAUCUUAUAUCAACUGGUUUUUGGUUUGCAGUUUUGCGUUGUGACAUGUGGUUUGAGUUGCAGCUGAUAUGCGUUUGGCGGUGUGUUGUUGUGUUCAUUGUUAUUCUGUCAAAAAGGUUCAGCAGAUGAAGGUUGUUUUGGCUUGAUGGUUAUCGUAUUUCAUGGCUUAUGUGUUCACUUCUGUUGGCUUACCGUUUCGCACAGAUACCACCUGCGUUUUGUUACUGUUGGACUCAUGUCAUUGUCAUGGUGUGCACACGUUCUUUACAUUGGCUUGGCGUCGGAAUCUUUGGAGUCAGAUGUGGCUAUGAAGCUUGGCUUGGAUGCUUUUCUUUUAUUGUAAAUUUUGUAAUCAAAAUUCAAGUUGUAUUAUGUAUGAAAUGUGAAAUUGAAUCUGUGUAUAAUUGGAAUGGAAUAAUGUAUUUUUAGAAAUGAAAUAUCUUAUUCCUGAAGGGUAAUUGGUGAAUGAA